GACGAACGCUGGCGGCGUGCCUAAUACAUGCAAGUUGAGCGCUGAAGGUUGGUACUUGUACCAACUGGAUGAGCAGCGAACGGGUGAGUAACGCGUGGGGAAUCUGCCUUUGAGCGGGGGACAACAUUUGGAAACGAAUGCUAAUACCGCAUAAAAACUUUAAACACAAGUUUUAAGUUUGAAAGAUGCAAUUGCAUCACUCAAAGAUGAUCCCGCGUUGUAUUAGCUAGUUGGUGAGGUAAAGGCUCACCAAGGCGAGGAUACAUAGCCGACCUGAGAGGGUGGUCGGCCAAAUUGGGACUGAGACACGGCCCAAACUCCUACGGGAGGCAGCAGUAGGGAAUCUUCGGCAAUGGACGAAAGUCUGACCGAGCAACGCCGCGGGAGUGAAGAAGGGUUUCGGAUCGUAAAACUCUGUUGGUAGAGAAGAACGUUGGUGAGAGUGGAAAGCUCAUCAAGUGACGGUAACUACACAGAAAGGGACGGCUAACUACGUG
rnacentral:rRNA from 1 species